AACGAACGCUGGCGGCAUGCCUAACACAUGCAAGUCGAACGAGACCUUCGGGUCUAGUGGCGCACGGGUGCGUAACGCGUGGGAACCUGCCCUUAGGUUCGGAAUAACUCCCCGAAAGGGGUGCUAAUACCGGAUAAUGUCUUCGGACCAAAGAUUUAUCGCCUUUGGAUGGGCCCGCGUUGGAUUAGCUAGUUGGUAGGGUAAAAGCCUACCAAGGCGACGAUCCAUAGCUGGUCUGAGAGGAUGAUCAGCUACACUGGGACUGAGACACGGCCCAGACUCCUACGGGAGGCAGCAGUGGGGAAUAUUGGACAAUGAGCGAAAGCCUGAUCCAGCAAUGCCGCGUGAGUGAUGAAGGCCUUAGGGUUGUAAAGCUCUUUUACCCGAGAUGAUAAUGACAGUACCGGGAGAAUAAGCUCCGGCUAACUCCGUG
rnacentral:rRNA from 1 species